CGCGAAGAACCUUACCAACUCUUGACAUCCCAUUGACCGCUUGAGAGAUCAAGUUUUCCCUUCGGGGACAAUGGUGACAGGUGGUGCAUGGUUGUCGUCAGCUCGUGUCGUGAGAUGUUGGGUUAAGUCCCGCAACGAGCGCAACCCCUAUCCUUAGUUGCCAGCAUUCAGUUGGGCACUCUAGGGAGACUGCCGGUGACAAACCGGAGGAAGGUGGGGAUGACGUCAAAUCAUCAUGCCCCUUAUGAGUUGGGCUACACACGUGCUACAAUGGACGGUACAAAGGGCAGCGAGACCGCGAGGUGGAGCCAAUCCCAUAAAGCCGUUCCCAGUUCGGAUUGCAGGCUGCAACUCGCCUGCAUGAAGUCGGAAUCGCUAGUAAUCGCAGGUCAGCAUACUGCGGUGAAUACGUUCCCGGGUCUUGUACACACCGCCCGUCACACCACGAGAGUUUGCAACACCCGAAGCCGGUGAGUAACCGCAAGGAGCCAGCCGUCGAAGUGGUAGUNUUGG
rnacentral:rRNA from 1 species